rnacentral:rRNA from 1 species
AUUGAACGCUGGCGGCAGGCCUAACACAUGCAAGUCGAGCGAGCGGCGGACGGGUGAGUAAUGUAUGGGAAGCUGACUGAUGGAGGGGGGGAACUACUGGAAACGGUAGCUAAUACCGCACACCAUCAGAUGUGCCCAGGUGGGAUUAGCUAGUAGGUGGGGUAACGGCUCACCUAGGCGACGAUCCCUAGCUGGUCUGAGAGGAUGACCAGCCACACUGGACCUGAGACACGGUCCAGACUCCUACGGGAGGCAGCAGUGGGGAAUAUUGCACAAUGGGCGAAAGCCUGAUGCAGCCAUGCCGCGUGUAUGAAGAAGGCCUUCGGGUUGUAAAGUACUUUCAGCGGGGAGGCGUUACCCGCAGAAGAAGCACCGGCUAACUCCGUGCCAGCCGCCGCGGUAAUUC